UAAGGAAUAUUGCUCAAUGGGAGAAAUCCUGAAGCAGCAACGCCGCGUGGAGGAUGAAGGGUCUAUGACUUGUAAACCCCUGUAAAGAAGGAAAAAAUUCCCAUUUGAUGGGAGAUGAUGGUACUUCUGGAGUAAGCCCCGGCUAACUACGUGCCAGCAGCCGCGGUAAUACGUAGGGGGCAAGCGUUGUCCGGAUUUACUGGGUGUAAAGGGUGCUCAGGCGGAUUUGUAAGUCAGAGGUGAAAUCUUACAGCUUAACUGUGAAACUGCCUUUGAUACUGCAAGCCUAGAGUAUGGAAGAGAGUGAUGGAAUAUCUGGUGUAGCAGUGAAAUGCGUAGAUAUCAGAUAGAACACCAAUGGCGAAGGCAGUCACUUGGUCCAUUACUGACGCUAAAGCACGAAAGCGUGGGUAGCAAACA
rnacentral:rRNA from 1 species